UUGAACGCUGGCGGCAGGCCUAACACAUGCAAGUCGAGCGGUUGAGAGUAGCUUGCUACUUGAUGCAGAGGCGGACGGGUGAGUAACGCGUGGGAAUCUGCCCAGUAGUGGGGGACAACAGCCGGAAACGGCUGCUAAUACCGCAUACGCCCUACGGGGGAAAGGGGGGGAUCUUCGGACCUCUCGCUAUUGGAUGAGCCCGCGUCGGAUUAGCUAGUUGGUAGGGUAAAGGCCUACCAAGGCUACGAUCCGUAACUGGUCUGAGAGGAUGAUCAGUCACACUGGAACUGAGACACGGUCCAGACUCCUACGGGAGGCAGCAGUGGGGAAUAUUGGACAAUGGGGGAAACCCUGAUCCAGCCAUGCCGCGUGUGUGAAGAAGGCCUUAGGGUUGUAAAGCACUUUCAGUGGGGAGAAAGGUUUGUCACCUAAUACGUGAUGAAAUUGAUGUUACCCACAGAAGAAGCACCGGCUAACUCCGUGCCAGCAGCCGCAGUAA
rnacentral:rRNA from 1 species